AGCGAACGCUGGCGGCAGGCCUAACACAUGCAAGUCGAACGGAUCCUUCGGGAUUAGUGGCGGACGGGUGAGUAACACGUGGGAACGUGCCCUUUGGUUCGGAACAACUCAGGGAAACUUGAGCUAAUACCGGAUGUGCCCUUCGGGGGAAGGAUUUAUCGCCAUUGGAGCGGCCCGCCGUCUGAUUAGCUAGUUGGUGGGGUAAAGGGCCCACCAAGGCGACGAUCAGUAGCUGGUCUGAGAGGAUGAUCAGCCACAUUGGGACUGAGACACGGCCCAAACUCCUACGGGAGGCAGCAGUGGGGAAUCUUGCGCAAUGGGCGAAAGCCUGACGCAGCCAUGCCGCGUGAAUGAU
rnacentral:rRNA from 1 species